GAUGAACGCUGGCGGCGUGCUUAACACAUGCAAGUCGAACGAAGCACUUUAACCUGAUUCUUCGGAUGAAGGUUUUUGUGACUGAGUGGCGGACGGGUGAGUAACGCGUGGGUAACCUGCCUCAUACAGGGGGAUAACAGUUAGAAAUGACUGCUAAUACCGCAUAAGACCACAGAGCCGCAUGGCUCGGUGGGAAAAACUCCGGUGGUAUGAGAUGGACCCGCGUCUGAUUAGGUAGUUGGUGGGGUAACGGCCUACCAAGCCAACGAUCAGUAGCCGACCUGAGAGGGUGACCGGCCACAUUGGGACUGAGACACGGCCCAAACUCCUACGGGAGGCAGCAGUGGGGAAUAUUGCACAAUGGGGGAAACCCUGAUGCAGCGACGCCGCGUGAGCGAAGAAGUAUUUCGGUAUGUAAAGCUCUAUCAGCAGGGAAGAAAAUGACGGUACCUGACUAAGAAGCACCGGCUAAAUACG
rnacentral:rRNA from 1 species